rnacentral:lncRNA from 1 species
UAGAUAUCAUCCCUACCCUUUUAGAUUUGUGAAAUUAAUAAUUUCUCAAAUAUGUCCUGAUUGGCUUUGGUUCUUGAUAUUUAAUAUCCAAAUAAUCUUUCUUGUCUUUGUCCAAAUAAUCUUGUCUUGUCUAAAGCCAUUAAGCUAUGUUUGUCUUGGCAUGGACUUCUCCAUAUAUAAAUCGUGACAGUCUCUCUGUAUUAUCUUUUCCUGACCAUGUUGCUGUACAAAUUGUUCAAGUAACGCUGUUUACAUUUUAUAAGCGCAUAGAAACCUGUACGUUACACAGUAAUUUUUCAAACUUCUUAUAUCACUGUUUUGAUGAUUUUGGAGACAUCUUAUCGGAUUAAUGGCAUCACCGUCUUCUUCUCUUCAUUAAUAACCAACUAGGAAUAUUUAAGACAACGAAUUAUUCAAUUAAAUUUGAUUCGGUAAUUGUUUCUCUCCUUCUUUCUUCCAUUACCUAUUGUAAUCAUCAUGAUUAACGACAUUUAUUUUUGAAUUUGCUUAAAUCAACUUCCUUAUGUC